rnacentral:misc_RNA from 1 species
AAGGAGUCUAACAUAUCUGCGAGUAUUUGGGUGUCAAACCCGAGUGCGCAAUGAAAGUGAACGUAGGAGCCACGCGCAAGCUGCAGCUUCGACCGAUCUGGAUCUUUAGUGAUGGAUUUGAGUAAGAGCAUAUAUGUUGGGACCCGAAAGAUGGUGAACUAUGCCUGAAUAGGGCGAAGCCAGAGGAAACUCUGGUGGAGGCUCGUAGCGAUUCUGACGUGCAGAUCGAUUGUCGAAGUGGGGUAUAGGGGCGAAAGAGGAAGCGAACCAAGUAGUAGCUGGUGCCUG